ensembl:lncRNA
GGGGAAAAAAGGGGAGGGGGGCACAAACACUCCGAAAUCCUUGAGCGCUGUCCCAGAAGCAACAGGAGCACACAGAGGACAACACAGCGCACUCCUAAAAAUCAGCCGCUCUUCAUUUUCACUACGAACAAUCUGGCCUCAGGCCCAAAUGAAAUAUUUGAAAUAUAAGAGGGGAACAAUAACAACACCUUGCAAGUGUCCAGAAUCCAAUUCCACUCGGAAGCAACGGUUCAAAUCCUGUUUGUGCAUAAGUGUGUGCGUGUGUGUGUGUGUUACUACUUUCAGCAGCCGCUCACCGUGGAGAUAAACGUCUGCGUUUAGCAGUCAGACGGGGAUAAGCAUGAUCUGAAUAACAUUUUUAUCCAGCUGCUGCAUUGCUUGUUAGCUGCACACAGUCACACAGACACACACAGACACACACACACGCACUAAUGUUACACGUUCGAGCAGGUGCACACAAGUGCUCAUCUAUAUGUAGUACUCAAAUGCAUACCGACAAGCAUGAAGGCUAACCUGGACUAGAAGACAUUCAGAUGGAAAUACGUUGUGGCAGGCAGCUAUAGGAAUAUAUAGCUGAGCACUUAUGUGUACAUGCUCACAUAGAUACUAUUAUGAGAAUUGAGUCUCUUAUUUCGGGUCACAUGGUGCCUUGACAGGAUUAAAGCAAUAAGCAAUUGAAAGAAAGCAAGAAGAAGAGGACUUCCUGUGCCGCAGCUCAGUAGUGAAAGUCUUUCAAAUGGCACAAAAGCUGGAUCGUCAUUAUUCUCCAAAAAAAGAGUGAAGCAGCGAGGCUCCGUACUGCCGUCUCAGAGGAAACUCAAGCAGAAAAAGCGUUUCCCUGCGUGUCGGAGCGAGACCAUUAGCCUAACGUCUCAGACAGAGCCGGGGACAGAUACGUGGUGGUGCCAAUCGUCCAUCAUUAACUGCCUUUUAAUCAGUAAACAUUUGGCAAAACCGAUAAGAAAGGACAGACAAACUCUCGCGCGCACAAACAAGUGCGCCCAUGAAAAGCGCUGACGCACACGCACCCUCUGCCCUCAUCUCACGCUCAGGAAAAACCGGCAGUGAAAUAUGCACCGAUCCAACAGCUCUGGCUGGGCCUCUUACACACACACGUACGCACAUUUACCUCAGGAGAUAAAAGAGCUGCAAUUUGCUUUCAAAUCCAACAUCAUUUUGAGAGAGUAAAAUAGUCCAAUCUUUUGCUUUUCACACCAUUACCCGAGGAGCCCUUUGGCUUCACCACACGGCAAUUUCUCUGCUCAUCCGGCACAUCUGCAGACUUACACGCCGCAUGCAUGUUUUACAAAUAACACGUGACGGUGACGCAUUCGAUCACGGUUGUGUGUGUGUGUGUGUCGACCUCAAUGGUGCUGGUAUGGCAUCGCGCGCCGAGGCGGACUGAGGCUCCUCGUGGGGGGGGGGGGCGCGCGCGCUGACCAGGAAGGAGCCGGCGUGACGGCGAACUACGGCACAGAAAGGAACUGGAGCAGCAAACAGUGAGCCCGCUUCGCUGUUGUGUAAUUAGCAUGUCACGCAUUGGGCCCCGGUGGUCGAAAAUAGUCCCGCUGCCUCGCCUGGGGAGUUGUAGAGGGGGUUGAGGGGGGGUGGUGGUGUUGGAUGAGAUCUGGGGGCCGAGGGUGGUGUUUAAUGCCCGGUAUGUAACGGCGGUCUAAUAGUGCCCAGUCAAGAAUUUGCAGUGGCCACACGCGGCGCGUAAUCCCUGACACCGUUGGCGGGGGUUUGCUGACAUGACAUCCGGGAAGUGAGGACUUGGGGGGGGAAAGUCCAGGACGUGGCCUUCAGCUUCCACUUGAUAGAUUAACUCAAAAGGCAUUGUGAUGGCACACCCAUUUGUCACUUAUCAUUUACUUGUCCUCAUUUGUCACUGUGUCCAUAGUCCAUCUCAUUAAAUCACAAUAUGAAUUAAAUCAGCACCUGGAUGGCGCUGAACGUUGUGGAUUGAUCAUAUCUAACGAACGAGAGUUGAUUGGAAUUCGGAUUUCUCCUCUCUGCUCUGCCCUCUUCCUCGCCUCCCGCCUUCUGGCUUCUUUUACUCGGCACCCCUCCAUCCCACCUGAUUAAUCAUCCGUUAUCGACGUGCUGUUGCUUCCAUCUUUUCUCCUGACUGUUUGCUCCUUUUUACUUUAAUUUAAUUUGCUUUUAUUCUCACACAGCUCUCGCCGAUAAGAACAUCGGCUAAAUCCCCCAAACAAACGCGUUAAAGGCCUUCAGACGGUCCAUGGAACACUUGGAUGGAUCUUCAACCUGGAGGAAACUGGAAUAUAUCUCAAGAUCCGAUGUGCCCCCCCUUUCAGUCAGGGAGCAGACAGCAUUAUGAAUGAAUGAGAAGACGUCAGAAGAGAUCCUUGUUUAGGUAAUCAUCUGUCGAGAGCAGACAUUGAUAGAGAUGUCUUUCCCCUUGAUUAGGCGUGACCCAUUUCUACUGACAACCCUGCACACACACACACACACACACACACACACAUCUACGCAGUUUGUGAUGCACACAGACACACUGGUAAUCUUUUCGGCGGGGAUGAGCACUGAGGAAACACACGUACACACAAAAGACGACAGGUCCAAGCCGCGGAAGAGAAGCGUCAUGAAAUUUCCUGGCCGUUGAGAGAGUGGAAAAAUGCCGCCGAUCAAAGCACGACAUCCAAAGCGCCAGGAGGGGAAAGAGGAGAUCCAAAGUCCCUGCAAAGGCAGCUCUUAGCAAACGGGCCGUCGCGUAAUGUUUGGGUAGUGGUUGCCAACGGUUACAGGCGACGUGCUGUGGUAGAGGCCAGCACAUCUGUUGGAGGAGGUCAACUCCAGAUGCUCUGACAAACAAACGUAAACAGCAACUAAACGCCUCGCUGACAUUUGAAAAAGAAACCCAUUCACAGAAAUGUGACGGGUUGUGGGGACCUCAGUAUUCCUGCAGGAAAACAUGUGUGGGAGGGGACUCCAUCAACUUCUGCCACUGUUAGACAAGGACACGUUCACGUCCACUUCACGCAGCGGCAGCAUGAGGGCAGAAGGAAAGGAAAAGGAAGGACGGGGUUUGAAAAACGCUCCCUAAAGCUCAUCUUUGUUUCUUCCUCACGAGGGCUCCACCGAGGACGGAAGGUUGUGCCCUCGCCUGCAUCGUGCAUGUGAGUGGAACCGGUGGUUGAUUAAAACUGGAGCACACGCGUUCUCCUCUCAGAGCCGACAGGCACGACUGCAGAGCUGGGGACGGACUCAGAGGAGGGCAUUUAGUGUUAAGUCCCUUUUUAAGUGGCUGUAAUUGUUUUGUACAACGAGUGACAAGUGACAACAUCAAAAGGAGAUCAUUCGCAGUGACAUUAAAAAAAAAACUUUUGCCGGAAUGAGCUGAAUCAAAAGCUUCCACGUGGAAGGUGAAAAAUUUGGUUUUUCUCCGUAAUUCCUCCACUGUGGGAAGAAUAAAACGGGAGGGAGUUUUUUUCAAUGCACCUUUACAGCAAUAUGUUUAGUUAUCUUCUAUUUCAGGAGAUAAACAAACCCCUCCUGAGCUUCCACCGAUCUGUGAUACAUGUGGGUUCACCAAACGCCGAGGCAAACCGCUUGCUCGUUAAACGCUAUCUGUGUC